UGAACGCUGGCGGUAUGCUUAACACAUGCAAGUCGAACGGCUUUCGGAGACAGUGGCGGACGGGUGAGUAACGCGUGAGAAUCUGGCCUUAGGUUCGGGAUAACAUUGGGAAACUGAUGCUAAUACCGGAUGUGCCGAGAGGUAAAAGCUUUAGUGCCUGAGGAUGAGCUCGCGUCAGAUUAGCUAGUUGGUGGUGUAAGGGACUACCAAGGCGACGAUCUGUAGCUGGUCUGAGAGGAUGAUCAGCCACACUGGGACUGAGACACGGCCCAGACUCCUACGGGAGGCAGCAGUGGGGAAUUUUCCGCAAUGGGCGAAAGCCUGAACCGGAGCAAUACCGCGUGAGGGAGGACGGCUUUUGGGUUGUAAACCUCUUUUCUCAAGGAAGAUGAUGACGGUACUUGAGGAAUCAGCAUCGGCUAACUCCGUGCCAGCAGCCGC
rnacentral:rRNA from 1 species